GGUUUCCCUAUUUAAUGUUCACCUGAGCUGGAAAUGGUGUUGCUGUAAACGACUUCAGUUCCCUCAGAACAUGGAAGAGAAAAUGGUUAGGAUUCACAAUCCUGAUGGUUGUUGCUCAACACUUUCCGGUCAAGUAGUGCAUUGUCUCUCAUUGUUUUGAUUUAUUCAUGAAGACCAACCACGGGCAAAGUACCAGAUGGUAGGAGAAUUAUUGAAGCAAAGCACAUCAAUGUAGGGGGAUUCUGUUCCCAUUUGGACCAGCUAAUAAGUUUCUUCCACUGGCCAGUCAGUGAGCAUAAACCUGGCCACAGUAACGCACAAGAGAAAAUCUGCAGAUGCUGGAAAUCCAAGCAACACACACAAAAUGCUGGAGGAACACAGCAGGCCAGGCAGCAUCUUUGAAAAAAAGUACAGUUGACAUUUCAGGCUGAGACCCUUCGACAGGACUGGCUCGUGUCCCUGGUGACCCGAUCUGCCCAGCGAAAUGGCACCUUCAGUAUCAGAGCGUCAGAUGUACACAUUGAAAGGAUUGUCCCGGACUGAGGCUGCUUGGGAUUGCAGAACUACAGCAUCACAUGACAGAAAAGAUGGGCAUACUUGCAGACUGUAGCUUUGCAAAGAGACCGUGGAGUAAGAUGCGAGAGCCUGUGUCACCGUUCAUCCUGAGCAGCGGUUCCAGGGACACUUAAGGACAUCAGGUGCUGCUGGCAGAUCACCAUCUGGUGAAAGGCACCUUUGGUCUGCCUGAAACUCGCUGCUCUCCCAGCACGUCGAGAUGUCCAUGGAGGGGUGCUGCCGACUGGCACAAUCCAGGCUGUACGAAUACGUGCUGAGGUUCUCACUAAAGCUCGGCGCAGCCACCAUUAGGGCUCAGUGGGGAAGGACCACGGUAUAGAGUUCUUCUGCUAUUAGAGCGGAAAAGACCAGGUUGGGUGUGGAAGCCGCUCAGUUAUUGUAGUAAUGUACCAUCCCAGGGGGUCACAUGAGGGGCAAUGGUCCUAGCGGUUUUAAGAAAUGUAGUAGAAGCAUUGACUGUGAAUGUAAGGAUGAAAAACCAUUACUUUUGAAAUAAUUUUUAUUAUGAAUAAAGUUUAUUUUGAUAUUAAAAAAAUGCUGGAGGAUGCUCUGAAGCUUGGUUCAGCCAACGUAAAGCCUCUGUCGUGAAGGACCACUGCCUCGGCUCCUUCAGCUCUCGGUCCUGGAGGGGCUGAGCCAGGUGGAAAACCCCUCAA